GGCGGAUGCGACGCGCGGUGCUGAAACCAUGGCGGCGUGGACAUACGAGUGCGGGUCCAGUUAUGACCAUGUGGAGAUAUCUGGAUGCCAAGUUGGCAACUGACAUCUCCAUCUGACUGCCUCCCCUUUCUUAAGCAGAUAACCUUUUGGGAAUUUCCUGGGUUGAUAGUGCUUGGAUUCCAAUAUUAAACAGUGGAAGUGUGUUGGAUUAUUUCUCAGAGCGUAGCAACCCAUUCUAUGAUCGAACGUGCAACAAUGAAAUGGUCAAAAUGCAAAGGCUAUCGCUGGAUCACCUAAAGUAAGUUACUGCUAGACAUUGGUAAAGUAAUCCUAUA